rnacentral:rRNA from 1 species
UGGGCGCAAGCCUGACGCAGCCAUGCCGCGUGAGGGAUGAAGGCCUUCGGGUUGUAAACCUCUGUCAGAAGGGAAGAACCGCCAGGGUGCUAAUCAGCCCUGGACUGACGGUACCUUCAAAGGAAGCACCGGCUAACUCCGUGCCAGCAGCCGCGAUAAUA